CCUACGGGAGGCAGCAGUGGGGAAUUUUGGACAAUGGACGCAAGUCUGAUCCAGCCAUGCCGCGUGCGGGAAGAAGGCCUUCGGGUUGUAAACCGCUUUUGUCAGGGAAGAAACGAGUUUCUCUAAUACAGAGACUUAAUGACGGUACCUGAAGAAUAAGCACCGGCUAACUACGUGCCAGCAGCCGCGGUAAUACGUAGGGUGCAAGCGUUAAUCGGAAUUACUGGGCGUAAAGCGUGCGCAGGCGGUUAUGCAAGCAGAUGUGAAAUCCCCGGGCUCAACCUGGGAACUGCAUUUGUGACUGCAUGGCUAGAGUACGGUAGAGGGGGAUGGAAUUCCGCGUGUAGCAGUGAAAUGCGUAGAUAUGCGGAGGAACACCGAUGGCGAAGGCAAUCCCCUGGACCUGUACUGACGCUCAUGCACGAAAGCGUGGGGAGCAAACAGGAUUAGAUACCCUGGUAGUCCACGCCCUAAACGAUGUCAACUGGUUGUUGGGAGGGUUUCUUCUCAGUAACGAAGCUAACGCGUGAAGUUGACCGCCUGGGGGAGGUACGGCCGCGAGGUAGAACGUACGAAAGUAGAAGUUAGUACGGCGUGAGACGUAGACCGACGGACGACGACGAGGGGAGGAGG
rnacentral:rRNA from 1 species